UUAACUAUUUGCUUGUUACUUCAGGCUGCAGUGUUUUUCAGGGUUGGGUUUCCGGCCGGCGGGCACCGUCGAUCGAGGGUGCCGGCUCUGGGCCGAAGUUAGACGGUAAGCAAAGGGUGGGGGAGAGCGCCGGGGCGCUCGGUGACCCAGUAAUGAUCCUUCCGCAGGUUCACCUACGGAAA
rnacentral:misc_RNA from 1 species